GCGUCAGAUGUGUAUAAGAGACAGGUGAAUCAUCGAAUCUUUGAACGCACAUUGCGCCCUUUGGCAUUCCGAAGGGCAUGCCCGUUCGAGCGUCAUUACACCACUCAAGCCUCGCUUGGUAUUGGGCGACGAGAGUCCUCGCGCCCCCAUUUCACCGGCUGGACGGAUCGAACCUCAGCGUUGUGGUCAUUCAAAUCGCUGCCGGGACGAGACGGACGCGCCGUUAAACCUCUUUAUCACAGGUUGACCUCGGAUCGGGUAGGGAUACCCGCUGAACUUAAGCAUAUCAAUAAGCGGAGG
rnacentral:misc_RNA from 1 species